UGAGGAAGUAAAAGUCGUAACAAGGUUUCCGUAGGUGAACCUGCGGAAGGAUCAUUAUUGAAUAUAAAUUUGUUCGGACUGUUGCUGGCUUUUUAUAAGCAUGUGCACGUCUGACACCAAUUUUCUUAAUCACCUGUGCACCUAUUGUAGUCCCUUGGAAAAAGUUUUCGAGUUUACUCUUGGUCUGGAGCAAAUUGCAAAGGGGUUAUUAAAUCCUUGUGCUUGUCUCUAUGUUUUCCAAUGGGGUCUAUGUCUUUUUUUAAUUAACUCUGUCUUUGAAUGUUUAAAUGUGGGCUUAAUUGCCUUUAAUUUAUAUACAACUUUCAACAACGGAUCUCUUGGCUCUCACAUCGAUGAAGAACGCAGCGAAAUGCGAUAAGUAAUGUGAAUUGCAGAAUUCAGUGAAUCAUCGAAUCUUUGAACGCACCUUGCGCUCCUUGGUAUUCCGAGGAGCAUGCCUGUUUGAGUGUCAUAAAACUCUCAACCUUGUUCAGUUUUGCUGACUUUGGUUGGAUUGGUGGGGGUUUGCGGGUUUCAUAAAAAAUCUUGCUCCCCUCAAAUGUAUUAGUAGGGAAUGUUUGUGAAAGACAGUCCUUGGUGUGAUAAUUAUCUACUCCAUGACUGUGGAACAAUGUUUUCCUGCUUUCUAACUGUCUGAUGAGACAAUUGUCAUUUAAUGUUUUGACCUCAAAUCAGGUAGGAUUACCCGCUGAACUUAAGCAUAUCAAUAA
rnacentral:rRNA from 1 species